AACGAACGCUGGCGGCAUGCCUAACACAUGCAAGUCGAACGAGACCUUCGGGUCUAGUGGCGCACGGGUGCGUAACGCGUGGGAACCUGCCCUUAGGUUCGGAAUAACUCCCCGAAAGGGGUGCUAAUACCGGUUAAUGUCUUCGGACCAAAGAUUUAUCGCCUUUGGAUGGGCCCGCGUUGGAUUAGCUAGUUGGUAGGGUAAAAGCCUACCAAGGCGACGAUCCAUAGCUGGUCUGAGAGGAUGAUCAGCCACACUGGGACUGAGACACGGCCCAGACUCCUACGGGAGGCAGCAGUGGGGAAUAUUGGACAAUGGGCGAAAGCCUGAUCCAGCAAUGCCGCGUGAGUGAUGAAGGCCUUAGGGUUGUAAAGCUCUUUUAGCCGGGAUGAUAAUGACAGUACCGGGAGAAUAAGCACCGGCUAACUCCGUG
rnacentral:rRNA from 1 species